UAACAUUAGAAUGUUUAAAAUCAUAAUUUGGGCAAUCGAAAUUUCGAAAUUAUUAAGUCAGUUCAAAAGUGAAAAUAAUCGAAAAACUUAGGCAUCACUGCUGCCGCUGUUGCCAUUGCAAUCUUUAUUAAAAAGCAGACGAUCACUUCACGAGGACGGUCAGCUGGCGAACGUGAACGUUUCGAAAGUUAAAUCUACAUAGCUAUUCCCUACUCAGCAAUUAUGAACAAGGUGUAAGAGAAGCAGUUGUUACAACCACGUACGUCGUAUCCUUAUCAGGCAGCUGACGGGGAACUGUAGGUGAAGAUUUUGAUCAAUCAAGCCUGUCACCACUCCACAGGGGACAUCCAAAUUGCAGCUGUUUUACCAUUCGCCUUGUCUUCGCACUUGUUCUCCACCAGCUCUUUGCCUUCCCACUCUUUACUUCUGCCCGAUAGGAUCUUAGGCAGGAAAGACAAGUCGACCUUCCGUUUGCUUAUUAGUGGAUCCGGCGAUUUUUUCAUCACCUCUUCCCUCAGAGUCCUCGUGUACGUUCAUGUGAAUGUGAACGUAUUCACGGGGACGUCCUUAUUCAUCGAAUGAACCGCAAGAAUCCUCCUUCAUCGAGUCUUCACACUUCUUUUUCGUUCUUUCCAGUCAAGGACUUUGGUCGCCUUCUGACGGAAGCUGUGCAAGCCUGACAUGUUGACAUGGAUGCUGCAACAACCUGGAUUGACCCGUUUAUCGAACUGCAUCAACAUUACACAAUUCGACUGAGACUGAUGUGGUCGACCUUCCGUUUGCUUAUUAGUGGAUCCGGCGAUUUUUUCAUCACCUCUUCCCUCAGAGUCCUCGUGUACGUUCAUGUGAAUGUGAACGUAUUCACGGGGACGUCCUUAUUCAUCGAAUGAACCGCAAGAAUCCUCCUUCAUCGAGUCUUCACACUUCUUUUUCGUUCUUUCCAGUCAAGGACUUUGGUCGCCUUCUGACGGAAGCUGUGCAAGCCUGACAUGUUGACAUGGAUGCUGCAACAACCUGGAUUGACCCGUUUAUCGAACUGCAUCAACAUUACACAAUUCGACUGAGACUGAUGUGGUCGACCUUCCGUUUGCUUAUUAGUGGAUCCGGCGAUUUUUUCAUCACCUCUUCCCUCAGAGUCCUCGUGUACGUUCAUGUGAAUGUGAACGUAUUCACGGGGACGUCCUUAUUCAUCGAAUGAACCGCAAGAAUCCUCCUUCAUCGAGUCUUCACACUUCUUUUUCGUUCUUUCCAGUCAAGGACUUUGGCCGCCUUCUGAAGGAAGCUGUGCAAGCCUGACAUAGUGACAUGGAUGCUGCAACAACCUGGAUUGACCCGUUUAUCGAACUGCAUCAACAUUACACAAUUCGACUGAGACUGACGUGUGGCACUCGAGAACGAAAAUGGUGAAAAUGGCUAGCUGCUCUCCAGUCUCCAUAUGCAAAUUUACAUCCGAUUACUUCUGAGUGAGAAAAGUCUCAUCCGUGGACAUUGUGUCAAUUAUGUUUUAUGUGACAGUUCAACCUAUACUGCCUGCCCUUAUGGACCUGCACUCUUGGAUAAAUUUGUCAGGAUUCCGGAAUCAUUUGCAGUUUCAAAUCCAAAUAAGGAAUAUUUCGGCGUCUUAGAUUAGAUUUGAUAGUUGAACUUGCUGGUUUUCGAGAGUCACAGCCGUCGAUCGAGAAAACCAAUGAGACGAGACCGAAAUGGAAUUCGAAGAAGCUAGUCAUUG